GUCGAACGGUCUCUAGCAAUAGAGAUAGUGGCGCACGGGUGCGUAGCGCGUAACCAACCUACCCGAAUCUGGGGGAUAGCCCGCCGAAAGGCGGAUUAAUACCGCAUAAAACCACAGUAUGGCAUCAUAUAAUGGUUAAAGAUUUAUUGGAUUCGGAUGGGGUUGCGUGCCAUUAGCUAGUUGGGGGGGUAACGGCCCACCAAGGCGACGAUGGCUAGGGGAGCUGAGAGGCUGGUCCCCCACACGGGCACUGAGAUACGGGCCCGACUCCUACGGGAGGCAGCAGUAGGGAAUAUUGGGCAAUGGCCGAGAGGCUGACCCAGCCAUGCCGCGUGCAGGAUGAAGGCUCUCUGAGUCGUAAACUGCUUUUGCCAGGGAAGAAUAAGGGGGAUGCGUCCUCCGACGACGGUACCUGGUGAAUAAGCACCGGCUAACUCCGUGCCAGCAGCCGCGGUAAUACGGAGGGUGCAAACGUUGUCCGGAUUUAUUGGGUUUAAAGGGUGCGUAGGCGGCCGAUUAAGUCUGGGGUGAAAGCCCGUUGCUCAACAACGGAACUGCCCUGGAAACUGGUUGGCUUGAGUACAGACGAGGGUGGCGGAGUGGAUGGUGUAGCGGUGAAAUGCAUAGAUACCAUCCAGAACCCCGAUUGCGAAGGCAGCU
rnacentral:rRNA from 1 species